GACGAACGCUGGCGGCGUGCCUAAUACAUGCAAGUAGAACGCUGAAGGAGGAGCUUGCUUCUCUGGAUGAGUUGCGAACGGGUGAGAAACGCGUAGGUAACCUGCCUGGUAGCGGGGGAUAACUAUUGGAAACGAUAGCUAAUACCGCAUAAUAGUAGAUGUUGCAUGACAUUUGCUUAAAAGGUGCAAUUGCAUCACUACCAGAUGGACCUGCGUUGUAUUAGCUAGUUGGUGGGGUAACGGCUCACCAAGGCGACGAUACAUAGCCGACCUGAGAGGGUGAUCGGCCACACUGGGACUGAGACACGGCCCAGACUCCUACGGGAGGCAGCAGUAGGGAAUCUUCGGCAAUGGACGGAAGUCUGACCGAGCAACGCCGCGUGAGUGAAGAAGGUUUUCGGAUCGUAAAGCUCUGUUGUAAGAGAAGAACGAGUGUGAGAGUGGAAAGUUCACACUGUGACGGUAUCUUACCAGAAAGGGACGGCUAACUACGUG
rnacentral:rRNA from 1 species